GUGCCAGCAGCCGCGGUAAUACGUAGGGUGCAAGCGUUAAUCGGAAUUACCUGGGCGUAAAGCGUGCGCAGGCGGUUUUGUAAGUCUGUCGUGAAAGCCCCGGGCUCAACCUGGGAAUUGCGAUGGAGACUGCAAGGCUUGAAUCUGGCAGAGGGGGGUAGAAUUCCACGUGUAGCAGUGAAAUGCGUAGAGAUGUGGAGGAACACCGAUGGCGAAGGCAGCCCCCUGGGUCAAGAUUGACGCUCAUGCACGAAAGCGUGGGGAGC
rnacentral:rRNA from 1 species